rnacentral:rRNA from 1 species
GGGGAGUACGGCCGCAAGGUUAAAACUCAAAAGAAUUGACGGGGGCUCGCACAAGCGGUGGAGCAUGUGGCUUAAUUCGAUGCAACGCGAAAAACCUUACCGGGGUUUGACAUGGUAGAAGUAGGAGCCCGAAAGGGUAACCAACGGUAUCCAGUCCGUAACUACUGCAGGUGUUGCAUGGCUGUCGUCAGCUCGUGUCGUGAGACGUUGGGUUAAGUCCCCUAACGAGCGAAACCCUUAUUUUUAGUUACCAUCGGGUUAUGCCGGGUACUCUAGAAAGACUGCCGUCGUCAAGACGGAGGAAGGUGGGGAUGACGUCAAGUCAUCAUGGCCCUUAUACCCCGGGCUGCACACGUGCUACAAUGGUCGGUACAAAAGGAAGUAAGA